UUUAAAUUUUGAGUUUAUCAUGACUGUGAAUGUACGAAUCGUCUUUUUCGUGAGUGAAUUGCUUUGAAUUCGUGUGUGUGUUUUUUGAGACUUUGGUGGCAGCGCGCUCUCCAACGUGGGUCACUCGUACUCUUUAGCCAAUCAGAUGCAAGCUUACCAUUCAACCAAUCAUAACCCGCCAAGAGCGCAGCAUUCAAGGAGCUCAGCAUUGCACACCUUUUGUGCAAUCAACUGAAAUGAAGCUUCACGUCAUCAACCAAGCAUGGUGAACGAAGUGCGGGAUAUACGUAUUGUAUUAAAGGACUCUCGUCAUGUAAUACUGUCACAGAGCAGUUGUUCUUAUGUUCCUGGGACAGCACAUUGUUGCACUAACUCAGAGUGCACAGCACAGAACAGAAGUUCACAGCUGUACUGAAACGGUUGAGAGCGGACACAGACCUAGAACAAUGAGGUUCUGUCUGCAAGACCCAAAGAAAUGAGCUUGCUGAUGUAUUAAGGAGUACCUUUUAAAAGAGUGUCACCUGUAAGCUGCCUGACCUCACAGUCCUCCAAGUAGCAGAGGCGUUUAAGGACCUUGCCAGUGCUGUAGCCCCUUCGGUCACCACUAUCAGGAUGUCACAUGUCAAUUCUUUGGUGGAUUUUGGCUUUGGCAGAGUUUAG